GUCAAGCCUCAUUCAUUUUUGAAUGAGAGAAAAGGAAGCAGAACUUCGGCGUGAGGGAGAAGAAGAAAUUGGAGAAAAAUGACAAGGUCAUUUUUUAUCUGAUUAAAUUGGUAAAUUUGCUUUAUUUUUUAUGAAAUUUUAGUAUGUUAUUUCUGAUAUAAAGAUGAAUAUUAGGAUAUAACUUGCUAGUUGUAUUGCCUUCUCUUUUGUCUGAUCUGAGAUACCCACUUUGUGAAGGAUUUAUGUUGAUUACAUCAGUUUUGAUGAUGUAUUUUGUUGAUUGUUGAGAUGCCCUAGUGCUACUAGAAAGACUGAUUGUGUACCUAUUAUUCUGAUAGUAGAAAAUUUUUUUGGACUAGGUCUCGUGGGUUUUUUGUUCCUCUUUUUUGGAAAUUUUCCUACGUUAAAAUUCUGGUGUCUGGUUAUUUAAUUUCUGCCAUUAUAUUUACUGCUUGGAGUAUCUUUGGUAUUGCCUAUUUAAUCGCACAAGUUGUGAAAAAAAUAUUUUUGGUGCUUCAGCUGUUAAACAGGUUCUUGUUUGAACCUUUGUUGAGUUUUUCCAACAAAGUGGUAUCUAGAGCUCUGGUUGUUUAUCUCUGUGUUGAUUAAAUAGAAGAAAAUACUCAUGAACCAAAUAUGGUCAAAUUGAAUUCCCAAAAUUACUUGAUUUAGAAGACCUUCAUGGAAGAUAUGUUGUAUAGCAAGGACUUGUAUGAUCAUAUGGAGGGGGGUAAAUACAAAAAUACCAAAUACGAUGCUGAAUGGAAGAAGCUGAAUCGGAAGGCAGUUGCUUUGAUUGGGCAAUGGCUUGAUCGUAGCGUGUAUCCACAUGUUGACACUGAAACGAAUGCCAAGAAGAUGUGGAAGAAAUUGAAGGAGUUAUAUGAGAGAAAGAAUGUGCAAAACAAAGCAUUCUUGAUUAGAAAACUUGGCAAUAUGAAGUAUAUUGAAGGUAAAUCGAUGUCGGGGCACUUGAACAUUUUUUAGGAGACGGUAAACUAACUGACAAAUAAUGAAAUUACUUUAAAUGAUGAGUUGCAAGCCUUGUUGUUGUUGUUGAGCUCUUUGCCUGAUAGUUGGGAAGUUCUGGUUGUAACACUGACUAACUCAGCUCCAAAAGGAAAGUUGACAUUAGCAAUGGUUAAAGAGAGCAUGUUGAAUGAAGAAGUCAGAAGAAGAGAGCAAGAUUUGAUUAAUGCUUCCUCCCAAUCAGAAGCACUUGUUUCAGAGUCACGGGAGAGAAGUCAAAGUAGAAAAUCUCACAGUUCUGACAAGUCAGAGAGUCGAAGCAAGUCAAGAGGAAAGUACAAGCCAAGAAAGGAGUUUAUUUGUCACCAUUGUGGCAAGCGGGGGCAUAUCAAGAGGUAUUGUAGGUUCUUGAAAAGAGAACAAUCAAGGAGAAGAAACGAAGAGAAAGGUAAACAUAGUGAUAAAGAAACUGGUGCUAUUGUUUAUGAAGAUGUUCUUAUCACAUAUGAUGAAAAUUAUGUGAAUCUUGUCUGUGAUGAUUCCACUUGGAUUAUGGACUCUGGUGCCUCAUGUCAUGUCACUCUGAGGCGUGAAUUUUUCACUUCUUAUAUUGCUGAAAAUUUUGCUAAAAUCAAAUUGGGAGAUAAAGGAGUGUGUGAUAUCAUUGGUAUGGGUGAUAUGUGGCUUGAAACCAACAUGGGAUGCAAGUUGCAGUUGAAGAAUGUUAGACAUGCGCCAGAUAUGCAGUUCAAUCUUAUUUCAGUGAAGGCAUUGGAUCAAGAGGGAUAUUGCACUUCCUUUGGUAGUAGAAAAUGCAAGAUUACCAAAUGGGCUCUCAUUAUUGCUAGAGAAGACAAUAGUCUCACUACUCUCUACCGGUUACAAGCAAAGUUGUGCAAAGAAGAGGUGAAUGUAGCUGAUGAUUCCUCUUCUGAUUUGUGGCAUAUACGUCUUGAUCACUUGAGCGAGAAAGGACUAAGCGUCUUAGCCAAGAAGCACUCACUUCUCGUGAAAGGUACAAUUUUAAAUACUUGUACUCAUUGUUUUGUUGGAAAGCAUGCUAGAGUAUCAUUUCAUAAUUCUGGACCUCAUAAGAGAUCACAUGUUCUAGAUUUAGUUCACACUGAUAUUUACACUAUGGAUGCUAAGACACUAGGUGGUGCAUCAUAUUUUGUUACUUUUAUUGAUGAUUAUUCUCGAAAAGUGUGAGCUUUUGUUUUGAAAUCUAAAGACCAGGUGCUCGGUAUUUUCAAACACUUUCAUGCAAGUGUUGAAAGAGAAAUAGGAAGAAAAUUGAAAUGUGUUCAAGCAGAUAAUGGUGGUGAAUACAGGGGUCUGUUUGAAGAGUAUUGUAAAGGACAUGGGAUCAAGCUUGAGAAGACGGUUCCUAAGACUCCUCAACAUAAUGGAGUUGCAGAGAGAAUGAAUCGCACUAUCAAUGAUAGAGUCAGAUGUAUGCUCUCUCAUGCAAAGUUGCCUAAAUCUUUUUGGGGUGAAGCAAUAAGGACUGUAGUAGAUCUGAUCAAUCUUUCUCCUUUAGUUCCACUAAAUGGUGAUGUUCCAGAGAAAGUUUGGAGAGGGAAAGAUGUCUCCUAUAGUCACUUGUGAGUGUUCGGCUGCAGAGCUUUUGUUCACAUUCCAAGAGAUGAAAGGUCUAAACUUGAUGGAAAGUCAAAGCAGUGUAUCUUCAUGGGUUAUGGUUACGAAGACUUUGGUUGCAGAUUAUGGGAUCCGGUGAAUAAGAAGAUAAUUAGAAGCCGAGAUGUGAUUUUUCUUGAAGACCAAACUAUUGAAGAUCUUGAGAAGACAGAUAAGCCAAUAACUGUUAGACGUUCUGCUAAUGAUGAACCUGGUCCUUCCACUAGACCUCCUGUUGAUGAGGGAGAUGUACAAGUUGAUAAUGAUGGUGAUGAUUUGCAUGAUGAACUUACACCUCAACCUGAGGUUCCAGAUGCAGAAGUUCCACCAGAUGUUGAAGUUCUACCUGAACCACCAGUUGAGCCUGAAUUUAGAAGAUCUACUAGAGAGCAUCAUCCUUUUUAGAAAUACUCUCCUCAUGAGUAUGUGAUGAACACUGAGAUUGGGGAGCCAGAGAGCUACUAGGAAGCUAUGUCUGAUGAGCAUAAAGAAGAUUGGUUGAAGGCCAUGCAAGAAGAAAUGAAAUCAUUGCAUGAGAAUCAUACGUUUGAAUUGGUGAAGUUGCCGAAGGGUAAGAGAGCAUUCAAGAAUAAAUGGGUGUUCAAAUUGAAAGCGGAUGAAAAUGUCUCACGGCCAAGGUACAAAAUUCGAUUGGUUGUGAAAGGCUUUGAGCAAAAGAAAGGUAUUGAUUUUGAGGAGAUUUUAUCUCCAAUUGUGAAGAUGUUCUCUAUUCAAGUUGUGCUUGGAUUGGCGGCUAGCUUGAAUUUAGAGGUUGAGCAGCUUGAUGUGAAGACUGCAUUCCUUCACGGUGACAUAGAUAAGGAAUUGAAAUUUAUAUGGAGUAACCAGAGGGUUUUGAGGUUAAAAGAAAUGAGCACCUUGUAUGCAAGUUGAAGAAGAGCUUAUAUGGGUUGAAGCAAGCGCCAAGGCAGUGGUACACGAAGUUUGAUUCCUUUAUGGAAGGUCAUGGGUAUAGUAAGACUUCUUCUGAUCAUUGUGUGUAUGUUAAGAAAUUCUCUGAUGGUGAUUUUAUAAUUCUCUUGCUUUAUGUUGAUGAUAUGUUGAUUGUUGGUCAUGACACUAAGAAUAUUGAAAGUCUCAAUAAAGACUUGAAUAGAUCCUUUGCUAUGAAGGAUUUGGGUCCUGCAAAGAAAAUCCUUGGCAUGAGUAUCACUCGUGACAGGAAGAAUGGAAAGUUGUGGUUGUCGCAGCAGAAGUACAUUGAGAAGGUUUUAGAGAGGUUUAGCAUGAGUAAUUCCAAACCUGUUAGUACUCCACUUGCUAGUCAUUUCAAGAUGAGUUCGCAGCAAUGUCCUACAAGUGAGAAAGAGAAAACAGAAAUGAAGAAGAUUCCAUAUGCAUCUGCAGUUGGCAGUUUGAUGUAUGCUAUGGUUUGCACCAGGCCGGAUAUUGCUCAUGUCGUUGGAGUUGUUAGUCGGUUUCUCUCUAAUCCUGGUAAGGAACACUGGCAACCAGUGAGGUGGAUUCUCAGAUACCUUAAUGGUACUUCCAAAGUUUGUUCAUGCUUUGGGAGUGGCCAACUUGUGUUGGAUGGUUACACAGAUGCGGAUAUGGCUGGGGAUCUUGAUUUAAGGAAGUCUACUUCUGGUUAUAUAAUGAAUUUUGCAGGGGGAGCUGUGUCGUGACAAUCUCGACUUCAGAAAUGUGUUGCUUUGUCUACUACAGAGGCAGAAUACAUUACUGUUGUUGAAGCUUCUAAGGAACUCUUGUGGAUGAAGAAAUUUUUACAAGAGUUAGACAUUAAUCAAGAGAAUUUUGUGUUAUUUUGUGACAGUCAGAGUGCUAUCCAUCUCAGCAAGAAUCCGAUGUUUCAUUCCAGAUCGAAGCACAUAGAGGUGAGGUAUCAUUGGAUACGUCAAGCGCUUGAGAUGAAUUCAUAUGCACUUGAGAAGAUCCAUACUGAUGAUAAUGGUUUAGAUACGAUGACUAAAAGUUUACCUAUAGUGAAGUUUGAUUCCUGCAAACAGAAAGCGGGUUUGAUGGACCAGCCUAUCCCCACUUGAGUUGGUAAAGGGGAGAUUUGUUGGUGGAUCCCCAACCUCAAGUGGGGCCUACACAACUUUUAAAACAAAAAGUAAAUAAAUAAAAUAGAAGAAAGUGGCUUUAAGCCACCGAGAGAGGGAGAGAGAGAGAAUGUCAAGCCUCAUUCAUUUUUGAAUGAGAGAAAAGGAAGUAGAGCUUCGGAUUGAGGGAGAAGAAGAAAUUGGGGGAAAAGGGCAAGGUUAUUUUUGAUCCAAUUGAACCAGUAAACUUACUCCAUUUCUUAUGAAAUUUUAGUAUGUUAUUCUUAGUGUAGAGAUGAACAUUAGGAUAUAACUUGCUAGUUGUAUUGCCCUCUCUUUUGUCUGAUUUGAGAUACCCACUUUGUGGAGGGUAUAUGUUGAUUCCAUCAGUUUUGAUGAUAUAUUUUGUUGAUUGUUGAGAUGUCCUAGUGUUACUAGGAAGACUGAUUGUGUACCCAUUAUUCUGAUAGUGGAAGAUUUUUCUGGACUAGAUCCUGUGGAUUUUUUGUCCCUCUUUUUUUGAGGAUUUUCUCACGUUAAAAUUCUGGUGUCUGAUUAUUUAAUUUUUGUCAUUAUAUUUGCUGUUUGGAAUAUCUUUGAUAUUUCCUAUUUAAUCACACAAGUUGUGGAAAAAUUAUUUUUGGUACUUCAACUGUUAAAAGGUUCUUGUUUAAACCUUUGUUGAGUUUUUCCAACAGUUUAGAAUAUGAUAUUUUAAUUUCUACAAUCAUUGGGAUUUAUAUUAAAUAAUACAUGUGCUUAUGAUUUGGUGAAUAAAAAUAGUGUACACAUCAAUUUUGGAAGGUGAAUUAUAAAAUACGGAGAUAAAACUUAUACGUAACAAGCCAAAUUACGAUUGAAUUUUUUAAUAUUGGUUGAUAUUUGGUAUAAUGCGUCAUUGUGAUAUAACUGUGUAUUUUACGGAUAUAUUAGAGACAUAAAAACAAAUAUUAUCGGUAAUUUGUAAAAAAUUAGAAGAAGACCAAAAAAAAAGAAAAAUGGAGAUAGUGAUUACUGCAAAAACGGAAAAUAUUUUUUUUAAAAAAGUAUAAAAUAGAGGGACAAGUUGACAUAUGAUGGAGACGAUUUUAUACAUGGUAGGGCGAUUUAUAAAAAGAAUAAAAAUUUAAAUGUAAGCGAAUAUAAAUAACAAGUUAGACGGCACUUUUUAUGUUUUUAUAUUAGAUUGACAAUAAUAUAUAUAUACCAUAACAAGUCAAAAGUCACAAUUCAACACAAAUUCACGAAUCAAAACACAAAUUCACAACUCAUAAGUUCAUACGACAUUAAAAUAAAUUCAAGUGGCAAAUAAACCAACCAAACUACUAGAAUGAACAACUAAUUAACUAAAAUCUAAACAAGUUAUUUAAUAAUCAUUCUAUUCUUCAUCAGUCAUAAAAUCUUCACGAGUUUUACAAACUUCUGCAUUACCAUCUUCAUCAUUAUCAGGAGCAGAAGGAAGAGGUCCUUGGAGAAGUUCUUCAAACUCAUCAUCAUCAAGAUAAGGAAUUACCAAAGGAUCCUUAGAGGCACCAACAACUCUAUUACCACUUGCUCCAUCAUUUAAAUCAGGAUCUGGAAUUAGAGCAUCUAAAUCUUCUUCUUCUCCAUCUUCGUCAGCAACAAUCCACUCAUCAUCAGAGUCCAACUCAUCAAGACUAUAGUCAUAAUCAAGACUUUUUCUAGUUUGUUUUUUCUUUGCUAAUCUUGAGUUUGUCAUCACAAACACAACAUCAUUCAUGGUUUUAGCUUUCAAACGGUUUCUCCUUUUUGUGUGAACCUUUUAAAAGUAGAUAAAAAAUAUUAGUCAAACAAUAAGAUAGAAUUGAAGAAUUAACAACCAAAUUUAUAAAAGUAAAAUGCAACUUAUAUUUAAUUACUAACCAUCUCAAAAGCGCUCCAAUUACGUUCACAUCCAGAUGAACUACAUGUCAAAUUCAAGACACGAAUUACAAAUUGCUGAAGCUCUGGAUGUUGAUCUCCAUAAGAAUCCCACCAUUGAGCUGGAGUUUUAGUAUAAAUUGCAUUUUGAGCUACUUUACUACCAAAAAACUCUUUUCAAGUCUUAAAAUCUUCAAGUUGAACAUCCAUCUUAGUGAUUAAAUCUGGAUUUUUUGUCAUCCUUUCCAUACAAGCAUAAAACUGCUUCUUAAGCUCAUAAGCAAUUUUAAAACCAAAGCUAUAAUGAAUUUGAGGAUUCAAAUAAUAGCCUGCAGCAUGCAAUGGCCUAUGAAAUUGGUUGCCCCAUCUUGCAUCAAUAAUAUCCCAAAUAGGUAUAUAACUAAAAUAUAAAAAAAAUUAAUAAAUUAGUUACAAAAUAAACAAUUUUUUCAGAAUUGAAGUUAAAAAUAAACAAUAAAUUAGUUACAAAGUAAACAUUAUGAACAACUCUUAUGCAUUAAUUAAAAAAAAUAAUUAGACAUUUUACCUUGUCUCAACUCCUUAAAAUGUAUCUCGUAUUUUUUCCUUUGCACUUGUCAUUUCUUCAAAAAUAAAUCCCGUUGCUGUCUUUUCUUCUGAAUCCACCAUACGAAGCACAUGAAGAAGAGGGUAGGCAGCCCUCAAGCAAAUUACCACUUCUUUCCAAAAUACCUUAUCUAACACCACACUUGCAAUUAUCUUUUCCUCUUUUGUCUUUGCAAAUUUACUAGAAGUCCAUUGAUCAGAAAGAAACAUUUUUAUUAAGGAACCUUUGUUGUCAUUGAGAUAUCCCAAAUUAAGGUAAGAAGUUGUAAAAUGGAUCAUACCUGGCCUCACCAAAUCUUUCCCCUUAGUGUGGAUGUGUAGUAUUGCAAUAAGAGCAGUUCUAGCAUAUAUGUAAGUAGUAAUCUUUCUACCUUUAUAAAUUGUGUCCAUGUGAAGUGUUACUUUUUUUUUUCCAAAUCUUCUAACAUUAAAUCAAUGCAAUGUGCUGCACAAGGCGUCCAAAACAACUUUUUCUUCUUUUUCAUUAGCAUUUCUCCUGCAGCUUUGUAGUUAGCCGCAUUGUCGGUGACAACUUGGAUGACAUUUUCUUCACCAACCUCUUCAACCACAUCAUCUAUCAUUUUAAAGAUUUUAUCAGCUGUCUUAGUAAUAUGAGAGGCAUCAACAGACUUUAAAAAAAUAGUCCCUUUAGGACUAUUAACCAAAAAAUUUAGGAUGGUCCGUCUUCUCUUAUCUGUCCAACCAUCAGUCAUUAUUGUGCAACCAACCUACUUCCAAUAUGCUCUAUGUUCCUCUAGUGAUUGUUGAAUAAGCUCCACGUGUUUCUUCAAAAGAGGCACCCUUAAUUCAUGGUAGGAUGGUGGCUUGAAUCCUUGUCCAUAUCUUAUAGUUUUCUCAAACAUUCUACUGUAUUCCUCGCUCUUUGAAACAUUAAAGGGGAUGCCAUUGUUGUAAAAAAAGCACUAAUCUCUAAACAUACUUUCUCUCUCAAAUUCUUCUUAAAUAUAUUGUUGAUUGUUGUUUGAGUACUAAUGUGUGUUUUCUUGAAUAUGUUGCCAUCUAGUUCUUUUCUCUUUCUUUUUUCACCAGUAAUGUCAACUUCUUUAGUAGAUUCACCUGAGCUUGCCCCACCCAUGCUUGUUUUCUUCAUCAAAUUCACUUGCAACCCACUCACAAUAUCCUACAUUUGCUUCUUAACUUCAUCACUAACAGCUGUACAAGCCCCAACAUCUUUUUGAGUUUCUGCUAAGUGGUGUUUCAAUCUAUAAAAUCCUCCUGAAAAAAUUUUAUGACAGUAUUUACAUUGUAUCUUCUUUCCAUCUUCUCCAACAGAUAUCCCGUGCUCCCAUCCUACAUCAGUUCUACUUCCAAGAGCAUUCUUAGAAACUUUUCUUUUACUAGCGAUUCCAGCUGCACUUCCUGACUGAGAAGCUGGAAUGUUAGUCGAAUUUUCACUUGCAUUAACUUGAGUCAAUGUCAUUCAUGUUCAGAAAAAAUGAAAACAGUAAAUAUUCAACAAAUCAAUUCAAUAUCAUAGCAAAAAUUCAACAAUUUAACAAAAAUUAUAGAAUUGUGUUCAAUUUCAAGUACAACCAUCUAAGUUCAAUAACAAAAGUUUAACAAUCCAAUUUAAACAAAAAAUACUAGCAUAACAAAAAUUAAGAAUUAUAUUUAAUGCCACAACAACAAUUCAGAGAUAUAGAUAGUUAUAAAAUUAUUGGGAUAAUAUAGGUGAUAAAUAACGAAGAAUUGAAGUAGUGCUUAUUGCUGCACAAUUAUUAGUACUGUCAUAGUUGCUUAUGAUAAAGAAUUGAAGAUAGAACACAUUACAAUUACAUUACAACAUGCACAUGUUUCAGGGUCUCGACUUCUGUAGUAUGUUUAGCAUUGAUAAUUGUAGUCUUCUGACACACAUAAUUUAAUAUCUUUUAUUUAUACAAACAUAUAUACACUAAAAUAAGAGAGAUAAGAAAUUCAAAAGUACAAGAUAGUAAACAAGAUUAAUUAAUGGUUAUAAGGUUUGCUUAUUCUAUAUAUCAUAUUUGUUAUAAGUCAGAUACACAAAAUGAAAAUGUGUGCCUUAGCUUAUGAGACUACUUUACCUGACCAAUGACUAUUGAUAAUAGAUAAUCAAGUGAUUAUGGCAUCAGGAUCUCAUCCAGCAUGCUAUAUAUACAUAGCCCUUGGAAAAGUAUUUAACUGGAUAAAGAAAGAUGUGAAAACUUUGUAGAGUUUAUUUAGAUCAGAGUCUCAAGAGACUUAGGUACAUCAUUGGGAUUUUGCUUGUGUUUGUGUGAUUCUGUUAAGGGUUUGUGAUAUGAUUGCGAAUGGAAGGUUGCAUGCGAUAAAUGAUGUAUGUAACUAAGAGUAUGAAUAAAUAUUGCUAAUUUGAUAACAAGAGAGAAAUUGAGAUAGAGGAUAGCUUCUUUUCCUGUAAAUAGAGAAGUUCAUGUUGUUUACACAUUCUACUAGGAGUGUACAUGGGUCGGGCCAUACCGGGUUUGGCUUAAUCCAGAUUCGGUCCGAAAUAUAGACCGAGUUUAAUUUUUGGACCCUAACCCGAUUCUAGACCCGAUGAAACCUACGCACCUUCGGGCCGGGUGAAAAUCGGAUAAAAACCGGGUGAAAACCGGGUCUUUAGUAUGUAAAAAUCACCUAAUCUCCAACCUUUAUUUCACAAUUCACAUAGUAAAAUUCACUUAAAAAAAUAUAACAAGAACCAACCCUUCUCUAAAAUUAUAACGUAACCAUAAUCAAUACUAAUAUUGUCUAACACCAAAUAUUUAAAUCAAUACAAAUAACACAAUAUUAUGCAUUUGUCUAAAGUCUUAUGCAUUUUAAACAUAAAACAUUAACUUAUAAUCUUAUAAAUGACUAAUAACACAAAAUAUUAAUUGUGUAUGAUGAUCGGGCCACCGGGCCGAGUUCGGGUGACCCGAGCUAUGACCCGGACCCGACCCGAAAUAAUGACCGGGUCUAUCUUUAAGACCCUUACCCGGCCCUAGACCCGAUGAAAUCACACUAAAUUAGCCCCUAAAGUGUUCGGGGCCGGAUUGGAUCUUCGGGCCGGGCCGAGCCAUGUACACCCCUACAUUCUACCACAGCUUUUUCUGAAUUUAUAAUAAAGUUACUCAUGUCUCAAGGUAGUUAAACUCAUAUAUAUAGCAGAGGAACACUUAGCUUAAUUAUAGUGUCAAGAAUCAAGAUAAUUAUUGUUCAUAAUUUGAGAACUACUAUCUCAAAUUCUCAAUACAUUUUGUGUUAAAUAUUAUUGGGCAUAAUAAAUUAACUCAGAUUAAACUCAAUCUUUUAGUUCAUGAUGGUUACCAUGAAUUAGUUAACGCUCUUGAACAAAUGUUUGACACUACCAUACCCUGUAAUCAACUCUAUCCCUAUAACAUCAUUUACCUUUUCUUUCCUAAUUAAAAUAUGAUUGAAGAGGAUAAAGAUGCAGCGAUCCAAAUUCCAAAGCCAGAGACAAAGAGGCAGAGCCAGAAUUUGCGAUGUUCAUGGCCUCACGCAGUCCAACCACUACCAUUCCGAGUCGAUAACACUAGCGACAAACCUCACAGCGAGUCGGCGAUGCUCCAAAUUGGGGUUUUCGGUUGCGCAAAAUUCAAAUUUCAGAUGGAAAGAGAAAUAGAGUCCGAGAUUGAGACUUGAGAGAGGUGAAAAUUUAAAAUUUUGGCCAUAGAGAAUUGGAGAUAAACUGUAAAAGUGAGGGAGAUUAAGAGAUUGGAGACUGUUACUCUGCUAGGGCUCCUCUUCCAUGGUCUUCUAUUUAGAUUGGGCCAAUGGGUUAGAUUGGGCUGCAAUCAGGGGCUCAGGGCCAAGAAUAAUAACUUCUUCAACCUGAAACGCAACCACGCGGCAGAAGCGACGAUUUCGACGACUCUGCGAUUUUCAACGGCGAUUUCACACGGAACAGCCUGGUUCUGGACGAGAAGCAAAAGCGCAACGGGAAGAUGGAGUAGAAGCAUAUAAUCGUGCGUUUCCACGAGUUUACACACGAUUCUGACUACCUCACUUUCAUAAAAAAAAAAAUUAGUCUACAAAUUUAUGUUAAUUUUGUAGAUUCUCCCUCUGCUUUCUUUUUUAUUCUCGUUUUUAUGGUAUUCUUUUUUUUUUUAAAGUUAAUAAAAAAAAUAAUCUCUCUUUUUUAUUUUCCUUUUUAUGGUGUUUUUAUAUUUAAAAAAAAUUAAUAAAAAAAAGAAUGAAUGGUAAAAUUAUCUUAAACUAACUUAAAAAGAAUAGGAGGAAGAAUUGCAGAAUAAACAUAAAUUUACAUCUCCUAACUCGUUAAUUAUAAUUCAGUCGCAUUUAAAAUUUUUAUUUUCCCUUACAAAUCAUUCCCACCAUGCAUGAAAUUGCUCCCAUCAUACGUCAACUCGCUUUAGGGGUAGUAAUGGGUAGGAUAAGAUAGAGUUUAAACCCAAUCCUAAUCUUACGCGAGUUGAAUUUGUUACUAAAAUCCAUCCUUACCCUACUCGCGUGUUAAGAACAAUUCAACGCUAACCCUACCUGUGGUCAAUCCGUAGUUCCGUACGUAUCCAAUCUUACUCGUGGAUUUUCACAAAUAUGCAAUAUUAUUAUAUAACUUAAUAAAUAUGCAAAUUUAAAAUUUAAUACAAACAACACAAUCAUUUCACAAACAACAAAAUCAUCGCAUAAAUUAAAUAACAUAACUAUCACAUAAUUAAGUCUAUAUAAAAAUCGAGACUUGCUACACAUACAAGUCUUUUUGACUUACAAGUUUUACAAGUUGCUAUUCAUUAGGGUCUUUUAAUGCGUUAUUCAGUUUCCAAAGCACUACACUCACCGUGGAUUAUGAACGACUCCUCUUCCUCUUCCUCUUCCUCUUCCUCCUCUUCUUCUUCUUCUUCUUCUUCCUCUUCCUCUUCCUCCAUGUAUUUCUUCGUUAUUCUCUUUGUCUUUUCAUUAAUUGCUUUACUUGCGUUUAUUACUGGUAUUCUUGCUUCCUUUUUUUUCGAUUUUUAUGGUUUCUGAAAUCAAGCUUUGAAAUCGUUUUGAAGAUAAUGGAACUUCAGAAAUACACCCAAACGAUUACAGAAAUACACCCAAACGAUUAUAGAAAUACACCCAAACGAUAUUUCUUCGUUAUUCUCUUUGCCUUUUCAUUAGUUGUUUUACUUGUGUUUAUUACUGGUAUUCUUGCUUCUUUUUUUUCGAUUUUCAUGUUUUCUGAAAUCAAGCUUUGAAAUCGUUUUGAAAAUAAUGGAACUUCAGAAAUACACCCAAACGAUUACAGAAAUACACCCAAACGGUUACAGGAAUUCACCCAAACGAUAUUUCUUUGUUAUUCUCUUUGCCUUUUCAUUAGUUGUUUUACUUGCGUUUAUUACUGGUAUUCUUGCUUCUUUUUUUUCGAUUUUCAUGGUUUCUAAAAUUAAGUUUUGAAAUCGUUUUGAAAAUAAUGGAACUUCAGAAAUACACCCAAACGAUUACAGAAAUAUACCCAAAUGAUUACAGAAAUACACCCAAAGGACACCUUAUGCAUAAUUCAGAACUCUUUCUCUUUCUCCUCCUCAUCUUCUGCUGCUUCUUCUUCUUCAAAAACGAUUUCAGAGCUUGAUAUCAAAAAAUAAUGGAAAUCAAGAAUAACAAAAAAAGAAAACAAAGAGAAAAGCACGUAAAUGAAGAAGGAGAAAGAGAAGGCAAAAAACAAAAGAAAAGAAGAAGAAGAAGAGGAGGAGGAGGAAGAAGAAUGUGCAGCAAGAAGAAGAAGAAGACGGUGCAGUGAAAUUGUGCAGUAACGAUUGAAGAAGGAGAAAGAGAAAGCAAGAAACGAAAGAAAAGAAGAAGAAGAGGAAGAGGAAGAAGAACGUACAGUAACGUUCAAGCGCGUUAAUAUAAUAACUUGUAAAGACUUGUAUAAAAAAAUGCUUGUAUGUGGAAAAUUUCUCAUAAAAAUCUUUACUUAAAUUAAUAACACAAAUAUAAAUAAAAUCAUUGUAAGUCUAUGAACGUUUCAUUUGUUGCAACAACACCAUUAUUAGUCUAUAAACGUGAGCACGAUGCUGAACGCGAACACGGGCAUGAAGUGCCGGCGAGGGGAGUAGCCAGAGUGGGGAGCGCCAAAGCAGGGAGUACAAAUUUUUGGUGGAGAGACGCAUAGAGAUGGAAUCUGGAGAUAAAAAAUGAGAGCUGGCCGCUAGGUGAUGUCAGUGAAGAGGUUAGAGUUGUGUUAUAAGUGGGUAUUUAUAUAUCACUAAAUACAAUUAAUUUUAGUAUUUAAUUGUUAAAUAAUAACCUUGGCUCAGUGGUUAAAGGUUUUUUAUCCCAAGGUAAAAGUCUUUUGUUCAACACGCACAUGGAACAAAUUUUUACAUAAUAUUACAUGAGUUACUAGUCAAAAUGACCCCUGAAAUUAGACCUUCGACUUAAUUUAGUUCUUAAAUUUUCAAUUAACUUAAAUUAUACUCUGAAAUUUUAAGGCGUGACUCAAGUUGGCCGUCCUUCUGUUCAUCUCUAUUUAAUUGACAUCUAGACCAAUUAGACUAUGUCAUUUUAUUGUUGCUACCUAAACAUUUGCAAAGCGGUGCCAUGUGACACUACAAAAAGAUUAAAUCCCAAUUCGUUUCCAUUCAUUACAAAGAAUGCAAAGAAGAUGAAGAGGCCAAAUUUCAUAUGCAGAGCAUGAAGGUGAACCCUUGAGCAAUUUCAAAUGUGAAAAUCAUAUUAACCGACACAUUGAUGCUUUGAGUUGCAGAUCUGACUUUAGGAAAAAAUAUCUCACUAGGAACCAACCAUAGAAAGUAAUCACAUUCAUGUUGGUGAGCUGCUGGAAGAAAGGAAUGAUAAUGGCCAUCACGAACUGAAGCCUAUAAUGCAUCUUCAACAGAGUGGCCCAUGGAUGUUUCACUGCCAUGGAUGAUUCACUCGCCUCAACAAGGUCAUCACGACAGGGAUAGCCAUGGGGAGAAAGAUUCUGCUGAUGACGAUCAUCACGGCAGAGAUCCACGAAACGCAAGCCCAGCCUUCACCGUUCUGCAUCUUGACGAAGAAAUAGUUGAGAACGUUAGCGACAAAGAUGUUAAUGGUGAUGGCCAAUUGAAACUCCUUUGUAUUUCUAAGGAGCAACCUCUGACACAGAAAUUGGAAUAGAUUGAUUGGCACAUCCAAUUGAGGUUUCUAUAAUGAAUGAAUAGUGAAUUGGGGUUUAAUAGUCACCAGGUGUCAAUUAAACAUGACACGUCAGUUUUCUAGUGAUAGAAAUGGACAGAAAAGCCAACUUGAGUCACGUCUUAAAAAUUUAGGGUACAAGAUCAAUUAAAAUUAAAAAAUUAGAUAAAUUAGAUAAAAAUAUUAAGAUUAAAUAGUUAUCAUAACGUGUGCGCGAGAGAGAUAAGGUUUGAUAUAAAAAUUUUGAUGGUGGGAAUUUGAUAAUAUCUUAUCUUAUUAUCAACAAUAAAAGAAAGAUCCUUUCUUGCACUCAAUAAUAAAUUUCUUUUAAAAUAGUUGAGUUCUGAAAAUAGAAUUUGAAUUUUAAAUUCGAAACCAAAAGAAUAUAAUUAUACAUUUAAUGUAUUUAAAAAAUUAGAUAAAAAUAUUAAGAUUAAAUAGUUAUCAUAACGUGUGCGCGAGAGAGAUAAGGUUUGAUAUAAAAAUUUUGAUGGUGGGAAUUUGAUAAUAUCUUAUCUUAUUAUCAACAAUAAAAGAAAGAAAGAGUGGGUCCUUUCUUGUUUGCAAAUUGGGAGUUGCUAUGGUGCUGAAGGACAAAUUCUUCAGCAGGUGCUGAUGCUGCGUGUCCCAAGGUGGUGGGAAUACGCGUCUACCUAAGAAAAUACAGAAGCAAUAUGAAGUGACGCAGAUGUGAUGGGACGAGUAGGUACUAUAUCAGUAACGUACGUACGCUAAGUACACAACCUUUACUUCUUAUAACUUAUUUAACCAUUUAGCACUCUAGUAAUAUAAUUAAAGAUAUUGAGAAAUUAACUCUACAAAUAAAUACAUUUUAUUCUCCAAAUAAAAUAAAAAAAUAUAUCACACAUCUAAAAUAGGUUCUUUAUAAUUACCCGGUAUUGAUACAAAAAAAAUGACCGUAAAACUAAAAAAUAUAGUGCUUAAUUUUUUUAUUGACACAUAUAAAAUAAAAUAUUGACUAAAGGUAUUUCACAUAUUAUAUGUUAUUUGAUAUUUUUAACGGUUGUUUUAUUCUUAUGUAUUACCAACAUAAAGUACUUCAAUAUUAAACUUGGUUAGAAAAUUUAUUUGAUUUAGUACUUGCACAGUAGCAUGGCUCCAUCGUUAUUAUUCAUUAUUAAGGUCAAACCUAUAUCAUUUACUAUUUAGCUAUUGUUCAGUAUCACUUUAGACAAUUUCUAGUAGAAAAUUCAUCUCAAUUUCUAUUUAUAACUCACUUGUAUUAAAAAGUAAUUUUAGAUUAAUUUUUGUAUUAUAAACAAUAAAUAAAAACAUAACGUGUCUCUUUCUUUUUCAUCAAGAGAAACUAAUUUUAGCCCUUAUUAUGGUUCCACUUAAUUAAUUAAAAUAAUUAAAAGGAAUAUAAUUGUAUUAGUCCGGUUGUAUUUAUUUGAUGUCUAUUUUCAGCAGUUUUUACUACUGUAUACAGUAAUAAUCCGACAGAAUUAAGAAAAAUUUAGCUCAUAUCGUGAAUAUAUAUUCUUUUUCACUAACAUUUUAAAUUAUCAAAUUUACUGUGUCCACCACAUCUAUACUACCACAUCUACAUGUCAACUACUAAUCACUUUGGUUAGCCCAGCUUUACCAAACAAAAAAGGUUUUACAACCCCGUCCAUUUCAUAUAAAAUAUUAUUAAUUACAAUAAUUAUAUUAUCCUUAACUGCAUUAAUUAUCAUCUCUAAACCAUUUGCUAAGUACCGACAAUUUACAGUUUUACACAGAUACUGUCAAUUGAGGGGGCUACGAUAAUUUUUGUUGGCUUACACAGACACGCAUCAUCUUUGGACACGCGUUUGAGCGACAUGCAUCGUCAGCGGGUGGGGAUGGAUCUUCACUCAGCACAGGAGAAUUUUCCUUGCAAAUUUCAUCUUUUGCUCUCGGAUCUUUUUGCUUUUCUACGUGGCAACGUCAACCCUGAAAGAAAGUGUAAAUCAAAUCAUUUUCAUUCUAUUUAUACCUGAUGAUAUAAAAGGAC
rnacentral:lncRNA from 1 species